GAUGAAGAACGUAGCGAAAUGCGAUAAGUAAUGUGAAUUGCAGAAUUCAGUGAAUCAUCGAAUCUUUGAACGCACCUUGCGCUCCUUGGUAUUCCGAGGAGCAUGCCUGUUUGAGUGUCAUUAAAUUCUCAACCUCACCCGUUUUCUGAACGGGGUCGAGGCUUGGAUGUGGGGGUUUGUGCAGGCUGCCUUCACUGGCAGUCUGCUCCCCUGAAAUGCAUUAGCGAGGUUCAUGCUGAACUUCCGUCUAUUGGUGUGAUAAUUAUCUACGCCGUGGACGAGGAUCAGACUCGCUUCUAACCGUCCGCGAGGACAAUACCUUGACAAUUUGACCUCAAAUCAGGUAGGACUACCCGCUGAACUUAAGCAUAUCAAUAAGCGGAGGA
rnacentral:misc_RNA from 1 species